AAAAUCUUCUUUGACUUUUACUUCAAAUCAAAGCACAUAAUCAUCAACAAAACAAUGAGAUUUUUCUUUCUUUUAUUUUCAUUGUUGUGAUAUGCAUAAAAUAAAAAUAAUAAAUAUAAAUGUUGGUACAACAAGUUGGGUGCAUUGAAAGCAAAGAGUAUCCAUCGUUGUUUCUCUCUUGGCAUGUUUUUUAAGUUCUGAAAGAAAAGGCUAUGAUCUCUCAUAUAUGCAUAACUUUGGAAAAUCUCUGCGAAACUACAUUAUUGUUUAUUCCUCAUUUAUUGUAUCUUCCUUUUUGCAUUUAGUUGAUGCCAAAUUUGAGUAGCAACACUGACAACCCAUAUGUCCUUUUAAAUCUUCUUCUAAUGGCAUUUUCAUGAAAUCACAUUAAACAAAAAAGGAACAAUAAUAACAAGGCCAAAGCAAUGUUCAUUAAAUUAUUAUAAAUCAGUUAUUUUGUUUUGUGUUUUUGGCAGGUAGGAUUUCAUCAAGCCACCAUAGGAACCAAUCUUUUGAGGAACAUGAUGAUGGAUGUGUUGAAGAAGUGAAUGAUGUUAAUAACAAUAAUAAUCAUAAUCAAAACUAUCAUCCAUGUUCACAAUCCAUUGGAAAAGAAUCUGAUUCUCUUCGGAUACAGUAACUUCUCCCUAAAAAGCUUUUUCCUUGUUCUGAAGCAACUACUUUUGCUUUUUUGAAAUUCGCUUUGGUGUGGAUUCUCUAUUCCUACAAUGCAAAUAACACAGAACUAGAAUGAGAGAAACUAUUCCAUAUCUUAGAACCUGCAAUGCAGGAACCAAAGAACAGUGCCAUAUCCGUACUCCUUUUAUGAUUAUGCUUAUUCAACUCAACAACAACAACAUCAACCACCUCAUUCCACAGUUUUCCCUAUGCUGCCACCACUUCUUGGAAAUUUCCUCCAGCUUUUUUAGCUUGUGAUGGAGUGGUUUAUUUUAUUUUAUGAAGCCCAUGCCAUAGGCUGCAAGUUAAGUUCAUCAGCUCUUUUCACUCUUCACUUUUUUUUUAUUCAGUGAGAUAUGAUCUUUCUAUAAGUCUUGUUUGUUUGUCAAAUGUUUUAACAGCUUUUGGGAUCUAAUCCUAUGACUUGGUCCAGUAGGAAACAAAGCUCAGUGAACAGAUCAUCUACUAAAAUUGAAUUUCAGAUGCCUUGCUGAUGCACAAGUAUUUUAUUUUUUUGUAGAUCAUCUACUGAAAGCGGUUAUUUGUAGUUCAUGUUCCCUCCACCUCUUAAGUAUUUUAUUUUUUUUCUUGAAAAGGGGCAUUGACUGUUGUGGAUAUCCAAGAAAUCAAGAGUGGUGCCAUGCCCCAAGAUUUGUUUAUUGCUAGUAGUAGUAUUUUAGUAGGUUGAAAAUCUUUGCCAUGCUAUAAGCUGCAGUAGUAUGGUACUUCUAGGAAAUUUACUUUGGUUCAAAGUAACAAAACAUUUAAGUACUGUGUUUGAAAAUUUAAUUAGAAUUUUUAAACUAAUUACUACAAGCUUGAUUAUAAUAUCUUCUAGUGUUCUUCUCACAGGGGCCACCACUACCUUCUUCUUUUGCACCGUCGUGCGCCAUAUCAAACCUGCCAAAGAAUUGUGCUCUGGAGCUUUUUCUGGUUAAAAGAAAGAUUAAGGGACCCUCGUGGCUACAGGUUUCGAACUUUUCAAAGCAAGAGCAAAGACCAACUUCAAAGCUAGGAGAACCGUGUCAUUAGUGUCAAGGCAAAAAACAUUGCCAAGCUAUCAAUUCCUUGAAAAGUAGCCAAAAGUUUAUAGUUUUAGAUUCUUUAGUAUAUUCAUGAUUCAUGAUUUUUCUUCCUCAUUUACUUUUAAAUUCUUAGAUCAAUUACUAAAAACGAAAGCUAGGCUACUUUUAAAGGUACAACUUUAGAUCAUUGUUAAUACUUGUAUUGCUACAUUGAUGUAACAUAGUUAUAGACUUGUAGCAUUUUUUGUUUUUUA